AAGGGACAAUCUUGGAAGGGGCGCGCCACGAGCGCGAGGCGGCGCUGUGGAGACUGGAGAAUGGUGUUUGCAGGGAAAGCGGAGGUUGGACUGGAGCGUCGCCCCGUUCCCCGCAACUCGUCCAUUCGAGCAGCGGGGUAGAACAUGACCCUGCCUUUCCCGAGGCGUCCUUUCUAGCCCAGACUUUGCUCCCCGGGAGCCUCACGCUGCCUCUCAUUACUUAGCCCCUGCUCGUUUUCUCCUUAACUCUGUAUGUUCCGUAGCACCUUGUUCAGGAUGCUAACUCUUGUCGGUAAUAACUUAGUGUCUCACCUUGCCCAGCACCCUCUUUUGGCAAGUGAGCCCCGAGUCCCAAAGAGGAGAAAUGAUUCUCUAAGGCUGCGGAGCAAGUUGGAACCAGCUGAGGACGCCUCACGGGGUUGAAGUGGAGAAAGUACUUGUUGAGGUAUCAGAAUAUCUGCAGUGUCCUCAGUAUGUGCCAGGCUCCCUGAUGGUCUGCAGCACCGGAGACAAACUGACCCCUCUCAGAGAAUAUUGGAAGGCUAGCCCAUGGUCAAAUACAGAGAAGGGAGGAGGAAGCCACCGAAAGGACUUCACUUUCCUGGUUUGCAUCUUAAGCAAGAUCACUCUGGCUCCUGUUUGGAGGACUGGAUCAGAGUGAGAGACUAACGACUGUGAAAGUUAUUCAGAGAGAGUGGAAGAGAAGGGGAGAUACAGAGAGAGAAGCAUUGAUGUGAAAGAGACACAUUAAUUGAUUGCUUCACACACCUACCCCGGCCUGACCCUGGACUGGGGAUGGACUGCAACUGAGGUACAUGCUGUUGACCAGAAUAGAACUCGUGACCCUUUAGUCUGUGGGCCAACACUCUUAAACACUGAGAAAAACCAGCUAGAACUAUUUA